rnacentral:tRNA from 1 species
AGGGGAUUAGCUCAAGUGGUAGAGCACUUGCUUAGGAUGCAAGAGGCAGUGGGAUCACUGCUCACAUUCUCCA